AUAUUCAAUUGUAUAUUUGUGCCACAUUUUCUUUCUCUGUUGCCCAGAAAAAAGAUUUGCUAAAAUGACUGACAAUACACAGAUUAAUAGGAGAAAAAGGCAUAUAAAUUUAUUAACAUACAAAAACAUGGGUACAAUAUUAAAUAUGAGACCCAAAGGGCCAGAUGAUUGAGGCUUAUAUAUCUGCUUCAUAGGGAAGAGGGAGAUGGGGAAAAUGCAGGGGUUGUUAAUGAUUUUUAGGGGAAAUGAAUGGGCCCAGGAGGCUCAGACAUUAUCUUGUAAAUGAUUCUCCUAGGAAACUAAACGACGCCAGCAAGUUACCGGAAGGUGAGGGGUGAAACUUAACCUGGUAGAUAAAGCCUCCCAGGUUAUCUCUUGGCACUGCCUCAGAGGACUAGAUGAAGAGUCAUCUGACUUUAGUCUCCAUUCUUCUCUGGUGGUUAAUCUUUUCUGAUUAUUUGAUGAGAUUCCUAGGAAGGGGAUCUUAAGACAAUUGCAUUUCUUUUGGAAAGAAGUUUCCUUAGUCAGAUAAGGAAAUUCUAGGGGAAGUCUCUAGGGGGAUAGAGACUCCAGAAGUCUCUAGAAGUCUCUAGGCGAUAGAAACAGAUGAGGCCAGAAAGGCCUUAUUCUGAGGUAGCUUCUAAGUCCUUUCUAUUUUAGUUCAAAGUGUUCAGCAUACCAAAGCGCCAUACUUUUGAGGUGUUGUUUUCUGAGCCCCAACAUAUACAUAUUAUAAAGAAUUUAAGAUAAAAAUAGUCUAUUAUAUUUAACCAGAUUUUUACCAUUUUUGUUUCUCUGUCUUCAUUCUUGAUGUUCUAAAUUUCUUUCAGGUAUCCUCUUUCUUCCGUUUGAAGAACUUUCUUUAGUAUUUAUUUUACAACAAGUCUACUAAUGACAAAUUCUCUUGAUUUUUCACUUGAGAACGCCUUUAUUUCCCUCUCAUUCUUGAAGAAUAUUUUCAUUGGAUAUAGAAUUCUUUUACAAAAUUGUCACAUAAUAUAAAAUUCACCAUUUUAACAAUUUUAAAGUGUACAGUUCAGUGGUUUUUGGUAUUUUCAUAAUGUUGUGCAACCAUCACUAUUAUCUAAUUCUAGAAGAUUUCAUCACCUGAAAACUCUGUACCCAUGAAGCAGUCAUUCCUGAUAUCCCCCCCGUCCCUAGCCCCAGCAACCCCUCAGCUGCUCUUCAUUUCUAUGGAUUUGUUUAUCCUGGAUAUUUCAUUAAAUGGAAUAAUACAAUGUGUUGCCUUUUUUUCUCUGGCUUCUUUCACUUAGCAUGUUCUUUUCUUUUCUUUUCUUUUUUUUUUUUUGGGAGAGAGUCUCACUCUGUCACCCAGGCUGGAGUGCAGUGGUGCAAUCUCGCGUCACUGCAACCUCAACCUCCUGGGUUCAAGCAAUUCUUCUGCCUCAGCAUCCUGAGUAGCUGGGACUACAGGUAUACAUCGCCACGCCCAACUAAUUUUUUUGUAUUUUAGUAGAGACGGGGUUUCACCGUGUUGCCCAGGCUGGUCUCGAACUCCUGAGCUCAGGCAAUCCGCCCACCUUGGCCUCCCAAAGUGCUAGGAUUACAGGCGUGAGCCACUGCACCCGGCCAGGAUGUUCCCCUCCCCUCCCCUUCCCUCCCCCUUCCCCUCCCCUCCCCUCCCCCUCUCCAUUCCCCUCCCCUCCCCUCCCCUUCUCUCCUCUCCUGUCUUCUUUCUCUUUUCUGUUUUUUCUUUUCUUUCUGAGACAGGGUCUGCUCUGUCACCCAGGCUAGAGUGCAGUAGCGCGAUCUCAGCUCUCUGCAGCCUCGACCUCCCAGGCUCAAGUGACCCGCCCACCUCGGCCUCUUAACAUGCCGGGAUUACGGACUAGAGCCACCCCACCCAGCCACUUAGCAUGUUUUAAAAGUUCGUCAAUUUUGGCAUUUAUCAGCAUUUCAUUUUUUAUGAUUGAAUAAUAGUCCAUUGUAGAAAUACACCAUAUUUUGUUUAUCCAUUCAUCAGCUGAUGGACAUUUGAGUAGUUUCUUCCUUUUGGCUAUUAUAAAUAAUGCUGCUAUGAGCAAUCCUGUACAAGUUUUUGUUUGAACACCUGUUUUCAAUUCUCUUGGUUGUAUACCUGGGGUUGAAUUGCUAGGUCAUAUUACGUUUAAAUUUUCAAACAUCCUAUGUUUAACUUUUUGAGGAACUGCCAAACUGUUUUCUUUUUUCUUUUUUUU
rnacentral:lncRNA from 10 species